GACGAACGCUGGCGGCGCGCUUAACACAUGCAAGUCGAACGAUGAACCACUUCGGUGGGGAUUAGUGGCGAACGGGUGAGUAACACGUGGGCAAUCUGCCCUUCACUCUGGGACAAGCCCUGGAAACGGGGUCUAAUACCGGAUACAACACUCUCGGGCAUCCGAUGAGUGUGGAAAGCUCCGGCGGUGAAGGAUGAGCC
rnacentral:rRNA from 1 species